rnacentral:rRNA from 1 species
UACAGAGGGGGCAAGCGUUGUUCGGAAUUACUGGGCGUAAAGGGCGCGUAGGCGGCCUUCUAAGUCGAACGUGAAAUCCCCGGGCUCAACCCGGGAACUGCGUCCGAUACUGGAAGGCUUGAAUCCGGGAGAGGGAUGUGGAAUUCCAGGUGUAGCGGUGAAAUGCGUAGAUAUCUGGAGGAACACCGAUGGCGAAGGCAGCCCCCUGGGUCAAAACUGACGCUCAUGCACGAAAGCGUGGGGAGCAAACAGG